UGGGGAAUAUUGCACAAUGAGCGCAAGCCUGAUGCAGCCAUGCCGCGUGUAUGAAGAAGGCCUUCGGGUUGUAAAGUACUUUCAGCGGGGAGGAAGGCGAUAAGGUUAAUAACCUUGUCGAUUGACGUUACCCGCAGAAGAAGCACCGGCUAACUCCGUGCCAGCAGCCGCGGUAAUACGGAGGGUGCAAGCGUUAAUAGGAAUUACUGGGCGUAAAGCGCACGCAGGCGGUCUGUCAAGUCGGAUGUGAAAUCCCCGGGCUCAACCUGGGAACUGCAUUCGAAACUGGCAGGCUAGAGUCUUGUAGAGGGGGGUAGAAUUCCAGGUGUAGCGGUGAAAUGCGUAGAGAUCUGGAGGAAUACCGGUGGCGAAGGCGGCCCCCUGGACAAAGACUGACGCUCAGGUGCGAAAGCGUGGGGAGCAAACA
rnacentral:rRNA from 1 species